GUGUGUUUAGCUCAGUGGUGUUAGAGCAGCUGCCAGGAAUUUAGAAUAUUGUGGGUUCAAAUCCCACAACACUCA
rnacentral:tRNA from 1 species